rnacentral:lncRNA from 1 species
GGGCUCCAUUUAGUUUUCGAAUGUAUAAACUUGACUAAAAUUCGCUGUCUAAAUAAUUUUUGCUCAAUCAAAUAUAUUUUUUGUGUAGUUGAAUAAAAUCCCAAAAAUGAGAAGUUUUUUGAAAAGAAAAAUUGUAAAGUAUCUUUUGUCACUUAUUAUGCUUUAUAUAGCUACGGUAAAAUUAGGAUAAAUUAUAGAGAUCUCUUCAAUUUUUCAUGAUUUAUACUUGUAUCCCAAAAGUUUUAAUUGUAUCAAUUAGAUCCUAAAACUUAUGAAUUGGUUGUAAUAUAUCAUAGCCAUC